rnacentral:rRNA from 1 species
CAGUAGCCACGGGAAUACGUAGGGUGCGAGCGUUAAUCGGAAUUACUGGGCGUAAAGCGGGCGCAGACGGUUACUUAAGCAGGAUGUGAAGUCCCCGGGCUCAACCUGGGAACUGCGUUCUGAACUGGGUGACUAGAGUGUGUCAGAGGGAGGUAGAAUUCCACGUGUAGCAGUGAAAUGCGUAGAGAUGUGGAGGAAUACCGAUGGCGAAGGCAGCCUCCUGGGAUAACACUGACGUUCAUGCCCGAAAGCGUGGGUAGCAAACAGGAUUAGAUACCCCUGUAGUCCCUGUCUCUUAUAC